rnacentral:lncRNA from 1 species
UUUAUAUCUCUAAAAUGAAUUUCGACUCUUCCAAAAGUGUAACUAGACAUAUUGGUGAGUAGAAUUAAAAGUACAUCUUGAAAAGUUUUUUAAGGCAAUAGUAGUAGCUAGGUCAAGUAGAUACAAUCUUUUACAUACACAACUAUAUUAGUAGUUUACCCAGAUUGCAAUCUUUUGCAUUUAUUCAAGUCAAGUAGAUACAACUGUAAACAUAGUUUGUCUUGGUUACACACUACUACACUCAAGCAUCUAAAAA